ACGCGUGGGAACCUGCCUUUUUCUGCGGGACAACGGUUGGAAACGACCGCUAAUACCGCAUACGCCCUAUGGGGGAAAGGCUUCGGCCGCUAUUGGAUGAGCCCGCGUCAGAUUAGCUAGUUGGUAGGGUAAAGGCCUACCAAGGCAACGAUCUGUAGCUGGUCUGAGAGGACGAACAGACACACUGGGACUGAGACACGGGCCAGACUCCUACGGGAGGCAGCAGUGGGGAAUAUUGGACAAUGGGCGAAAGCCUGAUCCAACCAUGCCGCGUGUGUGAAGAAGGCCUGAGGGUUGUAAAAGCACUUUCAGCUGGGGAAGAUGAUGACGUUACCAACCAGAAGCAGCACCCGGGUAAAUCCGUGCCAGCAGACGGCGUAAUACGGGUGGUGCGAGCGUUACUCGGGAAUUACUGGGGCGUCACGCGCGCGUUAGGCGGUAAGUCACUCCGCAAGUGAAGGCCCGGGUCAACUGGGAAUUGUUUGAUACCGUUUGCUAGAGUAGGGAGAAGAAAUCGAAUCCACUUUAGGGUGACUGCGUGAUUCUGGAGACCUCGUGGCAAAGCGAAGUUGGACCAAACCGCGCUAGGUGGAAACGUGGUACAACAG
rnacentral:rRNA from 1 species